rnacentral:misc_RNA from 1 species
CAGACACCUUAAACCUCUUUGCUGAAGCCUUGUGGGUCUUCAUUUUAUACCCUUUAUGGCACUCUACAGUCAAUGUCUUUGAAUUUCCAUUCGUUGGUGUUGCAGCAACCGAAACUUUCUCGAAGACAAUUGGGGCAAAACUUGAUAUGUUGCUUGAAGAACUGAGACUGAGUGAUGUUUUCUUAGCAAUUGAUGGAAUGUUAACAGAGGUGCGGCAAGUAAAACCUGUUGAUUUUCUAGGGGAAAAGUUUAGAACUGUGGAGAAUAGUGAAGUUGAAGAUGAAGAAGCCAUUGUUAGAGUCAUUGAAGCUUUGUUUUCUUUGAUAAAUG